AACGAACGCUGGCGGCAGGCUUAACACAUGCAAGUCGAACGCCCCGCAAGGGGAGUGGCAGACGGGUGAGUAACGCGUGGGAACAUACCCUUUCCUGCGGAAUAGCUCUGGGAAACUGGAAUUAAUACCGCAUACGCCCUACGGGGGAAAGAUUUAUCGGGGAAGGAUUGGCCCGCGUUGGAUUAGCUAGUUGGUGGGGUAAAGGCCUACCAAGGCGACGAUCCAUAGCUGGUCUGAGAGGAUGAUCAGCCACAUUGGGACUGAGACACGGCCCAAACUCCUACGGGAGGCAGCAGUGGGGAAUAUUGGACAAUGGGCGCAAGCCUGAUCCAGCCAUGCCGCGUGAGUGAUGAAGGCCUUAGGGUUGUAAAGCUCUUUCACCGAUGAAGAUAAUGACGGUAGUCGGAGAAGAAGCCCCGGCUAACUUCGUGCCAGCCGCCGCAGUAA
rnacentral:rRNA from 1 species